AUUUUUUGAAUACUUAUCUUUAACUGAUUUGCUCGCAGCAGGUUGCAUUCGAUUAGGAAUCAUAUCCUAUUGUUUCCUGCGGUAAAUUGGCCGUAUCAUGGGCUCUGAAGCUAUGGCUAAAAUACAAUUGUUGAUCUCAGGCUGAAAACCUCUUGAAACUCGCAAUAAAAAAACAAUUUUCGAUUCUAGAAACUCUUAAAAAAAUCUCUGCCAGAUUAUGGGAGCUGAAUGAAACAAUUUUCGAAGCCAUUCGAUCUUCAGACAGAACCAAUCUGUUGAUAAUGGGCUAGUCAUGACCAGUUUUCUGCAUACUCUCUCCAUCGACGCCAGGAAAAUUACUCUCACCCCUGGACCCUACAUAUUGUACUCAUCAACACAUAAGCCGGGACCUAUGGCGGAAGGCGUGACCAAAAAUUUACCGUCUCAACUGAUGCCAACGGUGCCGAGUAGAAUCCAGGCAUACUGGAAAGUUAGUCAGUCCGAUGUACUUAGUGUGCACGCCUUGCAACUCUCCUGGCUCCUCCUAACACCGAGCCUCUAGUCCUGAGCUCCUCCUCGCCGAACAAUUCCUCCUGGCCCAAUCCGUUGCCCGUACAAAUGGCCUCUAUCCGACGUUUGCACCGAGGUUUGCACAACACCCUCUGUUGACCAGCUCCUGAAUGUUCCGACGCUCCUCCUGGACUCUUGCUGACCAGCCAGCAUCCUACCGUCACACACUACCUGAUAUUCCAACAAAUAAAAUCGAUCUAUUUAAUAAAAAUAAAUCACCCUA